rnacentral:rRNA from 1 species
AGAGUUUGAUCCUGGCUCAGAACGAACGCUGGCGGCAGGCUUAAUACAUGCAAGUCGAACGGUUGUAGCAAUACAGCAGUGGCAGACGGGUGAGUAACACGUGGGAACCUACCUAGGGGUACGGAAUAACUCAGGGAAACUUGUGCUAAUACCGUAUACGACCUCAGGGUGAAAGAUUUAUCGCCCCUAGAUGGGCCCGCGUUGGAUUAGCUAGUUGGUGAGGUAAAAGCUCACCAAGGCGACGAUCCAUAGCUGGUCUGAGAGGAUGAUCAGCCACACUGGGACUGAGACACGGCCCAGACUCCUACGGGAGGCAGCAGUAGGGAAUCUUGGACAAUGGGCGAAAGCCUGAUCCAGCCAUGCCGCGUGAGUGAUGAAGGCCUUAGGGUUGUAAAGCCCUUUCGCCAGGGAAGAUAAUGACGGUACCUGGAUAAGAAGCCCCGGCUAACUUCGUGCCAGCAGCCGCGGUAAUACGAAGGGGGCUAGCGUUGUUCGGAAUUACUGGGCGUAAAGCGCACGUAGGCGGUUUUCCAAGUUGGAGGUGAAAUCCCCGGGCUUAACCUGGGAACUGCCUCCAAGACUGGGAGACUCGAGUCCGAGAGAGGUGAGUGGAAUCUCAGUGUAGAGGUGAAAUUCGUAGAUAUUGGAAAGAACACCAGUGGCGAAGGCGGCUCACUGGCUCGGUACUGACGCUGAGGAGCGACAGCGUGGGGAGCAAACA